GUGGGAGUUGUGUCUGCCACUCGGCUGCCGGAGGCCGAAGGCCAGCUAUUACUUCUCUACUGAGGCCAACUGUGAGCCCUGGUGUGUUUCAUUGGCAGGAGAAGAGGCUAAUUAAGUGAAACUGAAAGGCUGUACAGACUUCUGCUUCUGGGAAGGCCUCAGGAAACUUACCAUCAUGGCGGAAGGCGAAGGGGAAGCUGGCACGUCUUACAUGUCUGGAGCAGGAGAAAGAGAGCAAGGGGGACAUGCUGCACAUUUUUAAAUGGCCAGAUCCUGUGAGAACUCACUUUUGUGAAAACAGCAAGGGGGAAAUCCGCCCCUAUGACUUAGUCACCUCCCACUAGGCCCCUCCUCCAAUAUUAGGGAUUACAAUUUGAUAUGAGAUUUGGGUGGGGACACAAAUUCAAACCAUAUCAGAAGCCUUCAAUGGCACCC
rnacentral:lncRNA from 10 species